ACGGGUGAGUAACACGUGAGCAACCUGCCCCUCACUCUGGGAUAAGCGCUGGAAACGGCGUCUAAUACUGGAUACGAGUUGGAACCGCAUGGUUACCAACUGGAAAGAUUUUUUGGUGGGGGAUGGGCUCGCGGCCUAUCAGCUUGUUGGUGAGGUAAUGGCUCACCAAGGCGUCGACGGGUAGCCGGCCUGAGAGGGUGACCGGCCACACUGGGACUGAGACACGGCCCAGACUCCUACGGGAGGCAGCAGUGGGGAAUAUUGCACAAUGGGCGGAAGCCUGAUGCAGCAACGCCGCGUGAGGGAUGACGGCCUUCGGGUUGUAAACCUCUUUUAGCAGGGAAGAAGCGAGAGUGACGGUACCUGCAGAAAAAGCACCGGCUAACUACGUGCCAGCAGCCGCGGUAAUACGUAGGGUGCAAGCGUUAUCCGGAAUUAUUGGGCGUAAAGAGCUCGUAGGCGGUUUGUCGCGUCUGCUGUGAAAUCCCGAGGCUCAACCUCGGGCCUGCAGUGGGUACGGGCAGACUAGAGUGCGGUAGGGGAGAUUGGAAUUCCUGGUGUAGCGGUGGAGUGCGCAGA
rnacentral:rRNA from 1 species